UGGGGAAUUUUGGACAAUGGGGCGAAAGCCUGAUCCAGCAAUGCCGCGUGUGUGAAGAAGGCCUUCGGGUUGUAAAGCACUUUUGUCCGGAAAGAAAUCCUUGGCUCUAAUACAGUCGGGGGAUGACGGUACCGGAAGAAUAAGCACCGGCUAACUACGUGCCAGCAGCCGCGGUAAUACGUAGGGUGCAAGCGUUAAUCGGAAUUACUGGGCGUAAAGCGUGCGCAGGCGGUUUGCUAAGACCGAUGUGAAAUCCCCGGGCUCAACCUGGGAACUGCAUUGGUGACUGGCAGGCUAGAGUAUGGCAGAGGGGGGUAGAAUUCCACGUGUAGCAGUGAAUGCGUAGAGAUGUGGAGGAAUACCGAUGGCGAGGGCAGCCCCCUGGGCCAAUACUGACGCUCAUGCA
rnacentral:rRNA from 1 species